GUACAGCAGGAUCGAGCAUAAAACCAGCAAAAGGAAGAUCAGCGGCUGAAGCAGCUCCCCGCGCUCCUCUUGCUUUUGCAGAUCUGAAAGCCCCAGGGAAGAAGCGAGGAGAGGCUGUGCCUGGCUGGAAACAGCUGCACGGCCCCAUUAACCAGAGCCUGGAGAAUGCCUGACAUAACUCGAGGAGGGAUUUGCUCUGGUUGAGAUGGCUGCAGUCGAGAGGCUCCUGGCGGGGUGAGGUCACUGAACCCUGCUGAGCGCAGCAGGUAAAUGCAAAGCCUACGGCUCUCUUCCCUCAGACACCUCAGGCUGUACUGGUGCCCAGAAAAAGGUGGGUGGUGUCUUUCCUUCUUCACAGAGAGGUGUAAAUUUUAAAGCUUAAUGAAAGCAAUUUGAGUAGUAAUAAUAUUAUCCACUUUAAAGUAGAAACAUUUUGAUGUU